rnacentral:rRNA from 1 species
AGCUGCAGAAGAAGCACCGGCUAACUCCGUGCCAGCAGCCGCGGUAAUACGGAGGGUGCGAGCGUUAAUCGGAAUUACUGGGCGUAAAGCGCAUGCAGGCGGCCUGUUAAGUCAGAUGUGAAAGACCCGGGGCGUUAACCUCGGAAUUGCAUUUGAAACUAGGCAGGCUAGAGUCUUGUAGAGGGGGGUAGGAAUUUCUAGGUGUAGCGGUGAAAUGCGUAGAGAUCUGAAGGAAUACCAGUGGCGAAGGCGGCCCCCUCGGACAAAGACUGACGCUCAGAUGCGAAAGCGUGGGGAGCAAACAGGAUUAGAUACCCUGGUAG